UUUACAGACAGAUCGAGCGAGUUAGUAAAUGCAUAAUACCACUGUUAAAGAAAGACUUUAAUAUCAAACCUCACAAGUGAUGGGGGGAUAGCUAUGAAGUUUUAUCAUAUGUUUAGUAGUAAAUACAGUAGUUUUGAAUAUUUGAUAAAUAGCCUGCUGUUUAAUCCAUAUCGCGCAACUUUGAUGCGCACCCUUUAUCGCAUACCCUUUAUCACACCCCUACCCUUUAUCACACCUUUACCCUUUAUCACACCAGUACUUUUUUUUUUACAUACCGAGGCAGUCAGUAUUUAUUUAUUUUUUUAUUUAUUUUUUUUUGCUUUUAAAAGAAAUAUUUUCCCUCAAAAUAGGUACGGUCACUCGCUAACGCUCCGGAUAAAAUAAUCGAAUAUAAAUGCCCAACCCAUGGUUAAAUGAGAACAAAGCUACGGCUGCCAUGAAUUAUGUUACGUCCGGAUGAAAUAAGCAAUCAACGUUAAAUCCGAUAUUUCCUGUAGGGAGAGUGUCGUGCUCUAUACACAGUUUGGAACGUUUGCAAAUAACGUUUUAACUUUUAGGCUCAUUUUACUUGACUUUGUGUAUAUGCAUUCACCUCAACAUUUCCUACUGCAUACUACUAGUAUAUGUGUGCUCAUGUACGUUUUGGGGAAUUUGAACGAAUAGUUUGAUUGUAAUAUGCAAGAUUUCUUGAAAACAUUUUUAACAUUUUUUGUUUUAUAUUGAAACAUAUUUCAUGCAUUUAGUUGUAUGUAUAUUGUUAUUUUUGUUAUUAAAAUAUGAUUUGACA
rnacentral:lncRNA from 1 species